GGCACCAAAGGUGGAGAUGGGGACCUCCAGCCACAACGACGUGGACCUCAGCUGGAUCCCUCAGGAGACCCUCAACCAGAUCAUGCAGAGUCGCAGAGACAAAGCGUCUCCCAGAAGAUCUCCUCGCAAGAGG